rnacentral:rRNA from 1 species
UACAGAGGUCUCAAGCGUUGUUCGGAUUCAUUGGGCGUAAAGGGUGUGUAGGUGGCGCCGUAAGUCGGGUGUGAAAUUUCGGAGCUUAACUCCGAAACUGCAUUCGAUACUGCGGUGCUUGAGGACUGGAGAGGAGACUGGAAUUCAUGGUGUAGCAGUGAAAUGCGCAGAUAUCAGGAGGAACACCGGUGGCGAAGGCGGCUUUCUGGUCUGUAACUGACGCUGAGGCGCGAAAGCGUGGGGAGCAAACAGG